UCCCUGGUAGUCAAGUGGGUAGGACUCCGCUCUCCGAAUACGGGGGGCCCAGGUUCGAUCCCUGGUCAGGGAA